UACUGAGUUUACGCUCUAUAACCCUUUGUGAACAUACCUAUAACUGUUGCUUCGGCGGGUAGGGUCUCCGCGACCCUCCCGGCCUCCCGCCUCCGGGCGGGUCGGCGCCCGCCGGAGGAUAACCAAACUCUGAUUUAACGACGUUUCUUCUGAGUGGUACAAGCAAAUAAUCAAAACUUUUAACAACGGAUCUCUUGGUUCUGGCAUCGAUGAAGAACGCAGCGAAAUGCGAUAAGUAAUGUGAAUUGCAGAAUUCAGUGAAUCAUCGAAUCUUUGAACGCACAUUGCGCCCGCCAGCAUUCUGGCGGGCAUGCCUGUUCGAGCGUCAUUUCAACCCUCAAGCUCUGCUUGGUGUUGGGGCCCUACAGCUGAUGUAGGCCCUCAAAGGUAGUGGCGGACCCUCCCGGAGCCUCCUUUGCGUAGUAACUUUACGUCUCGCACUGGGAUCCGGAGGGACUCUUGCCGUAAAACCCCCCAAUUUUCCAAAGGUUGACCUCGGAUCAGGUAGGAAUACCCGCUGAACUUAAGCAUAUCAAUAAGCGGAGGAAAAGAAACCAACAGGGAUUGCCUCAGUAACGGCGAGUGAAGCGGCAACAGCUCAAAUUUGAAAUCUGGCCC
rnacentral:rRNA from 1 species